CGGAGCCCGAGAGGACCCCGUGGCUCUUGGAGGCCGCAGGGGGUCGCGGCCAUCUCGGCGCCCGGCGUACAGUGUGCUCGAAAUGUAAAAGCCAUUGUUGAAAUGGAAGCCUCCACAUGGGCAGAGGAAGACGGUGGGAAAUGAAAAAGGCAACCUGAGGGGGAACCUGGACAAAUGUUAACAAGGAUUCCUAACCCUGGUGUGAAGGCUAACCUCAGGAUUAACUGAGCCUGACCAAGACCCAGUCCCCUCCAGCUGAGGGAUCUUUCCCAGUGAAGUUCCCACUUCCCCACACAGUAAGCUGGAGAGAGCCCUUUGCCACACCUUCAUUUUCAUUUGCAACCCCCCAAUGACCUUUUUGGUUUUCCCAGUAGUGAGGUUCUCUAUCUCCCCCACCCUUUUUCUUCUUUUUCUAUAGUCAGGACUUUAUUACUAGGUCAACAGUGAAAAACUGUCUAGGUCCUGCAUGAUAACAACUAAGACAAGUGUAAAGUGACCUGUCUCCAGGGCGGUAACCUGCAGUUCCUAUGGACUCUCCAUUGCACAAUUAUUCCUGAUAAUAUGUAUGCUUUUUUUUUUUUAAGAAUAAACCAUCUCGGGGCAGUUACAGUUGCAUUAGUGUAUGUUGUGGAAAUACGCUCGCAUUUAGAGGACUUUAUUAGAAACAGCUGGGACGUGAAUGUUUCAAACCUGAGUCUCCUUACCCUCAAUAUCUACUUUCCAUUCUGACUUCCCCGAGAGCAUCCACAUAAUGCAUGCUCUCUGUGUGUAAUACAAGACACUUGUUUAAUAAAGCGAACGAUUGUCUGUGUCAGGGAGAUUGGUCCUCUCUCCCUCUCUCAGCCCAUGUGCAGAGCAGAUCAAAGACCUAAACUACCUCUGUCUUUCUAAAGACAGCCAGAUGGUGUCUUGAUUUUUCUUCAGUUUUUUUUUAAAGCAAUAGAAUUCAAAGCACUAAAGAAUCUGCAUGGGUACAACAGAUGAAAGCUCAUCCCAGGGUAGAGCCAUGAAGAGAGCAGCCGGCAGAAUUGCAGAGCCAUGGGAAAGCAUGAUCAAGGGAAAGCUCUUCCACUCUCAUCCUGAAUGUAGAGUCCUAGAAGAGAGCUGCAGCAUCUGCGGUGUGAACUCCACAGAAGACUGAGAGUCAACUGACUGCGCUGCUCAUCAAAUCAUCGGGCAGGCCUGACAUGGGCAACCAUCAGAAGUAAAUGUUUGAAAAAGGCAAUUCAGCGAAUCGACUAUUCAAAAUCUCUGUCAAAUAUAAGGUGUCUUUUUUGUUUGUUUGUUUGAUUUGAGUUCUAGAAUGAUAGUCAUGAACUAUCACCCACCCCAUCACACCUAGCAUGCACCUAUUGAUUGAUUGAUUAAGAUAGUCUCACUCUGUAGUACAGGCUUGCCUGGAACCCAUUAACUCACUAUAUAUUUGAAACAGGGUUUCAUGUAACCCAAACUUACUUCUAACUUGCUGUUCAGCCAAGACUGGCCUUGAACUCCUGAUCCUCCUGCUUCCACCUCCCAGUUUUUGGAAUUACUGGCUUGCACUACCACCAUGCCUGGCUAUGGUGAUUAUUGAUCCAAAUGAAAGUGGAAUGAAUCCAAAUUUCUCUGUGCAAAGAUGAGAGAGGAUCUCAGAUCUUCAGGAAAUAAAUUAGAGAACUCUGUGGAAGACGUGUUUGAUAAGAGAGGAAUAGAAGAAACAGGUAGAGUGUUUUUAUUUAGCAUAGUUAUAGUGUGUUCUGCAACCUGUCACUGUAGCUGUGAGAAGAGAGUCCACCACAGCAUUGCUCACAAGGAAUGGGUGAUGCAUGUAAUUAAAGAAACAUAAAGGGCUGAGGGCUGGUUCCAACUUAAGUAAAAGGCGUGAAGGAAAAGGGAAGCACUAGAUCCCUUUAAUAAUGAUGGCACUCAACUCAGGGAAGAAGAGUGGCUUUUCUAAAGCAUCAUUAGAUAACACCUUUGAACUUGAAGUGUUAGUGCUCUAAAGGCAUUUGUGAAUUUCUCUUCUGGCUUCUGAGACACUGCCUGUAUUGGUUAGGGUUU